UACGUAGGGUCCGAGCGUUGUCCGGAAUUAUUGGGCGUAAAGAGCUCGUAGGCGGUUUGUCGCGUCUGCUGUGAAAUCCCGAGGCUCAACCUCGGGCCUGCAGUGGGUACGGGCAGACUUGAGUGGUGUAGGGGAGACUGGAAUCCCUGGUGUAGCGGUGGAAUGCGCAGAUAUCAGGAGGAACACCGAUGGCGAAGGCAGGUCUCUGGGCACUUACUGACGCUGAGGAGCGAAAGCGUGGGGAGCGAACAGG
rnacentral:rRNA from 1 species